rnacentral:tRNA from 1 species
GCGGGAUUAGUUUAGUGGCAGAAUAGUUGCUUCCCAAGCAAUAGGCGCGAGUUCGAUUCUCGCAUCCCGCA